GAGAGGGUAUGAGACAGCUGUCCCUCUAAAGGAAGAGAGAAGGUAUGCGACAGCUGUCCCUCUAUAGGAAGAGAGAAGGUAUGAGACAGCUGUCCCUCUAAAGGAAGCGAGAAGGUAUGAGAAAGCUGUCGCUCUAUAGGAAGAGAGAAGGUAUGAGACAGCUGUCCCUCUAAAGGAAGAGAGAAGGUAUGAGACAGCUGUCCCUCUAAAGGAAGAGAGAAGGUAUGAGACAGCUGUCCCUCUAAAGGAUGCGAGAAGGUAUGAGACAGCUGUCCCUCUAAAGGAUGCGAGAAGGUAUGAGACAGCUGUCCCUCUAAAGGAUGCGAGAAGGUAUGAGACAGCUGUCCCUCUAAAGGAAGAGAUGAGGUAUGAGACAGCUGUCCCUCUAUAGGAAGAGAGAAGGUAUGAGACAGCUGUCCCUCUAUAGGAAGAGAGAAGGUAUGAGACAGCUGUCCCUCUAUAGGAAGAGAGAAGGUAUGAGACAGCUGUCCCUCUAUAGGAAGAGAGAAGGUAUGAGACAGCUGUCCCUCUAUAGGAAGAGAGAAGGUAUGAGACAGCUGUCCCUCUAUAGGAAGAGAGAAGGUAUGAGACAGCUGUCCCUCUAUAGGAAGAGAGAAGGUAUGAGACAGCUGUCCCUCUAAAGGAAGAGAGAAGGUAUGAGACAGCUGUCCCUCUAAAGGAAGAGAUGAGGUAUGAGACAGCUGUCCCUCUAUAGGAAGAGAGAAGGUAUGAGACAGCUGUCCCUCUAAAGGAAGAGAGAAGGUAUGAGACAGCUGUCCCUCUAAAGGAAGAGAUGAGGUAUGAGACAGCUGUCCCUCUAAAGGAAGAGAGAAGGUAUGAGACAGCUGGCACUCUAUAGGAAGAGAGAAGGUAUGAGAAAGCUGGCCCUCUAUAGCAAGAGAGAAGGUAUGAGACAGCUGGCCCACUAUAGCAAGAGAGAAAGUAUAAGACAGAUGUCAAUUCAGAGGCUCACUGGAUGUUUACUUUUUGCCAAAAACAAGAAAAGAAAAAGAAACCGUUAGUUUUAUUAGUACAUUGUAAAUAAAAUAUUAUAUUAAUAAUGAUAGGUUAAUAAUUGUAUAUA